rnacentral:rRNA from 1 species
UAGAGGAUCGAAGGCGAUCAGAUACCGCCCUAGUUCUAACCAUAAACCAUGUCGACCAGCGAUUUGUCUGAGUUCUUCAAAUGACUCGACAAGCAGCUUCUGGGAAACCAAAGUUUUUGGGUUCCGGGGGAAGUAUGGUUGCAAAGCUCAAACUUAAAGGAAUUGACGGAAGGGCACAACCAGGCGUGGGGCCUGCGGCUUAAUUUGACUCAACACGGGGAAGCUCAUCCGAUCCGGACACUGGAAGGAUUGACAGAUUAAGAGCUCUUUCUUGAUUCAGUGGAUGGUGGUGCACGGCCGUUCUUAGUUGGUGGAGCGAUUUGUCUGGUCAAUUCCGAUAACGACCGGAGACUCAAGAUUAAUAGGGAUAGUCGGGGGGCGUCAGUAUUCAGCUGUCAGAGGUGAAAUUCUUGGAUUUGCUGAAGACUAACUACUGCGAAAGCAUUCGCCAAGGAUGUUUUCAUUAAUCAGGGAACGAAAGUUAGGGGAUCGAAGACGAUCAGAUACCGUCGUAGUCUUAACCAUAAACUAUGCCGACUAGGGAUCGGGCGGUGUUUCUAUAAUGACCCGCUCGGCACCUUACGAGAAAUCAAAGUUUUUGGGUUCUGGGGGGAGUAUGGUCGCAAGGCUGAAACUUAAAGRAAUUGACGGAAGGGCACMACCAGGCGUGGGGCCUGCGGCUUAAUUUGACUCAACACGGGGAAGCUCAYCCGAUCCGGACACUGGAAGGAUUGACAGAUUAAGAGCUCUUUCUUGAUUCAGUGGAUGGUGGUGCACGGCCGUUCUUAGUUGGUGGAGCGAUUUGUCUGGUCAAUUCCGAUAACGAGCGAGAUUCCAGCCUACUAAAUAGGCGUCCCGAUCAACUUUGUCGGGCGUUCUUCUUAGAGGGACAAGCGGCGUUUAGCCGAACGAAACGGUGCAAUAACAGGUCAGAGAUGCCCUGAGAUGUCCGGGGCCGCACGCGCGCCACACUGAAGGAAUCAGCGUGUGUUUUCCCUGUCUGGCAGGAUUGGGUAACCCGCUGAACCUCCUUCGUGAUAGGGAUAGGGGCUUGUAAUUGUUCCCCUUGAACGAGGAAUGCCCAGUAAGCACGAGUCAUCAGCUCGUGCUGAUUACGUCCCUGCCCUUUGUACACACCGCCCGUCGCUACUACCGAUUGAAUGAUUUAGUGAGGUCUUUGGACUGGCGCUCGGAGCGACUCUGGUCGUGCCGAUGUGACGGAAAGAUGAUCGAACUUGAUUAUUUAGAGGAAGUAAAAGUCGUAACAAGGUUGCGG